rnacentral:rRNA from 1 species
UACGUAGGGAGCAAGCGUUGUCCGGAAUCAUUGGGCGUAAAGCGCGCGUAGGUGGCCUCGUAAGUCCGCUGUGAAAGUCAAAGGCUCAACCUUUGAAAGCCGGUGGAUACUGUGAGGCUAGAGUACGGAAGAGGCGAGUGGAAUUCCUGGUGUAGCGGUGGAAUGCGCAGAUAUCAGGAGGAACACCAAUAGCGAAGGCAGCCCGCUGGGACGUUACUGACACUGAGGCGCGAAAGCGUGGGGAGCGAACAGG